rnacentral:tRNA from 1 species
GCUGAUGUGGCACAGUUGGUAGCGCAAUCCACUCGUAAUGGAUAGGUCGCAGGUUCGAAUCCUGUCAUCAGCA